GACCAAACAGUGAGGGCCAGAGCUGCAACUAAGUAUGUCCAUAGUAAGAGAACGGAGCACUCGUCUUGUCCCACAUUGAACAGCUGUGUCAUGGUGGGACGGUAAACUGAAGCAUCAAAGCAUAUUGAAACAAAGGAUCUUCCGGGAGAAACCCGAGAAUCUCAGCUGUUUUGACAACCCCUAUACCGAUAGCUGGGAGAAUUAUGUACCGAACACAGACAAUCCCGGCUAUUACAGGGGGUUUGAUGGCUGAAGAACGUAACCCUUGUUGAUUCAAAACCGCAACAGUCAAUAACAGUAAAGGGUGAAUCGAGGAGGCGGGUUUUGAGGUCAGACUCUAAGUCAGUAUUGGAUGGUUUGAUUGCCGCCUCUUCAGAUUCCUCAAUGGCUUUGAAUGUUGCAGCUGAACCUUUUAUCAAUCGGAAUGUGAAAGGAGAACCAUCAUAAUACAUACCGCCAUAGAGAAAGACGCGUACGAGAGUCCAAGGCUUCUGCAAACACUCCGGUUCCCGAAAGGACUCUUGUCCUCGCUGCAGAUUGCCGGGACAAGUAUUACUGGAAGGUUUCCCAUGUUUCCUUCACCAGGAAAUCAUCGCCACAAGAAAACUGAGGAUUUCGAUACCUGAAGAACAAGCAGCGAUGACCAGACCUUCGAGAUAAGGCACGGGUUUCAGAAGCUUAACAAGAAUCCAACCAAGAAUUCCUCCGAUCAGGAAGUGAAGAAAGAGAGGCAGAACCUCGAGAGUUUACCAUGAUACCAUGUCCUCGAGCGUGACCGUCUUUGCCAGAUUAGCAAACAUGAGGCAAGGCGCAAACGCUACAAACACUACCUACAUUCAUGAUUCAAACUUUUUGUACUCAACCCAUAUUUCCAGAGAUUCAGCAUCAAACGAUGAAGAGAGUAGAGACAGGUUGAGGCGUACC